UAGAGAGCCAACGCCAUUGCCCUGGACCUACGGUGAGGCAGAACAUCAAGGCAGAAGAAUGUGGUGGAGGAAAACAGCUCAGCACUCGUCAACAAGGGAGCCGAGAGCUAAAUAAGCGAUUCAAGAAGAAGUGAGCUGUCACAAGCAGAAUCCUGGCAAGGCUGACUCUGGGCACACUGGUCAAGUGGACAUUUCUGGGGACACCUUCAGCUUCUUCCAGCUUCUUUCCCUCCUUCAUAUAGACACUCCCUCCAUCAAUUCUGUCUUUUAAGGAAGGAUCUAGAUGUCAUCUUCAGUGGGACACCCAGAGUGGGCACAGAAGCUCAGUGACCCUUCCACCCCACCUUGCCCUAUUCAUCUCGCUGUUCUUCUGUAUCCUUUAUAACAUCCUUCCUAAUAAAUGGGUAAAUAAAAAGUAUUUACUGGAGUUCCAUGAACCUCUACAUUAAAAUCUGGAUCAGAGCUAA